ACAAACUUGGUCAUUUAGAGGAAGUAAAAGUCGUAACAAGGUCUCCGUUGGUGAACCAGCGGAGGGAUCAUUACAGGGUCUCCAGACUCUCCCAAACCAAACCGUGCUCUCAAAAACUUGAGGUUUCUGCCGAGGCAGCGCCGCCCGCUGGUGGGGCCGCCGGCCGGGACGGGGGCUCUGCUCCCCCCCGGUGGCCUGCCGAGGCGAAACCACAUUUUUCACUCGCGAAUAACUUUCUCUGAGAAAUGACAAAACAAAAAAUCACAACCUACAACAAUGGAUCUCUUGGCUCUGGCAUCGAUGAAGAACGCAGC
rnacentral:misc_RNA from 1 species